rnacentral:rRNA from 1 species
AUUGAACGCUGGCGGCAUGCCUUACACAUGCAAGUCGAACGGCAGCGUGGACUUCGGUCUGGCGGCGAGUGGCGAACGGGUGAGUAAUGUAUCGGAACGUACCAUUCAGUGGGGGAUAACGCAGCGAAAGUUGCGCUAAUACCGCAUAUUCUGUGCGCAGGAAAGCAGGGGAUCGCAAGACCUUGCGCUGAUUGAGCGGCCGAUAUCAGAUUAGCUAGUUGGUGAGGUAAAGGCUCACCAAGGCGGCGAUCUGUAGCGGGUCUGAGAGGAUGAUCCGCCACACUGGAACUGAGACACGGUCCAGACUCCUACGGGAGGCAGCAGUGGGGAAUUUUGGACAAUGGGCGCAAGCCUGAUCCAGCCAUGCCGCGUGAGUGAAGAAGGCCUUCGGGUUGUAAAGCUCUUUCGGCCGGGAAGAAAUCGUAUGGGUUAAUACCCUGUGCGGAUGACGGUACCGGCAUAAGAAGCACCGGCUAACUACGUGCCAGCCGCCGCCGUAACAC